rnacentral:lncRNA from 1 species
GGAAGAAUUUUCUUAGAACCAAAAGGCAUGGAAUUGAUGACAUGAAACUGCCUGAGCUUCUCAGCUGACCUGUGGUGGUGUGCCCAAGUGGAAAGUUCUUCUUUCUUUCAGAGACAUAUGACUCACUAUUUCAACACAGAAGUCCCUUAUAUUGCAUGACACAAUAAAAAACAACCAGAGACUUCAAAAUUACUCCAGGCUAGAAGGACACUCCAAUUAGGGGAAAAGUAACCUAUGGGCUCUCUGUUGUAUGAAACCAUCUUCCAUAAGAGUUCAAGGACAGAAGACUACUGAUGUUGUAAUAACAUUGAAACUUAAUGUUUUGGGCAAUCCUUAAGUAAUUUAUUUGGAGUGUCCCAGUCAUUUUAGACCUCUUCACCUUACAAUGUGUUGUGUGAGAUUAUAUUUCCAUACACCUAAUUUUAAAAUAAAUUUAUUUAGGUGGAUGUAGAGACAUAUUACUGUGUUAAAGCAGUUCACACUAAAGAAAAUUUAGCUAA